AGCGAACGCUGGCGGCAUGCCUAACACAUGCAAGUCGAACGGCAGCACAGUAAGAGCUUGCUCUUACGGGUGGCGAGCGGCGGACGGGUGCGGUAUAUAUCGGAAUCUACUUUUUCGUGGGGGAUAACGCAGGGAAACUUACUCUAAUACCGCAUAUGACCUACGGGUGAAAGCAGGGGAUCUUUUGACCUUGCGCGAUUGAAUGAGCCGAUGUCGGCUUGGCUGGUUGGCGGGGUAAAGGCCCACCAAGGCGACGGUCCGUAGCUGGUCCAAGGGGAUGAUCCUCCACUGUGCAGCGAGGACGAGCACCAGCACCGUAGGUGAGGCAGCGGUGGGAAAUAUUGGACACGGGGCGGAAGCGUGAACAAGCCAAGCGGCGUGGGGGAAGAAGAGCUUCGGGUUGUAAGGCCCUUUUGUUGGAAAGAAAAACAGCCGGUUUAAAAGCCGCUGUACUGACGGUACCCAGAGAAUAAGCACCGGCUAACUUCGUG
rnacentral:rRNA from 1 species